rnacentral:rRNA from 1 species
AUGAGUCACCGAAUUCAGGCUGACACUGUCGGGGAUGAAGACGACCUACCAGGAUGCCUUGCUCGGGGACAACCACGAUGCGAGGAAAAACAACGCCGCCAGCAUCCUCACAAUCGAUGUGGAUCCAAGCUGGCUCCGGGAGACGAGACCCACGCCCACAUCGCCUCCAAGGACGCUAACGAUGACGACACAAUCAAGAUCUGCAAGCUCGCAUCCUCCAUGGCGCAACUUCUCAUCGAGCCCUACUACCCCUCCGUCGCUGUUGACCGGCCUGAGAGAUCAAGGAGGCGUACAGCAAGCCAAACUAGGCUCACCCCAUGGUCGCACCAAUGA